UGAGUGUAGGGUUAGAUGGUAGAUGGUAGGGUAUUUAAAUAGUGUAGUAGGGUGGUAGGUGGUAAUGAGUGUAGGGUUAGAUAGUAGAUGGUAAUGAGUGUAGGGUUAGAUGGUAGAUGGUAAUGAGUGUAGGGUUAGAUGGUAGAUGGUAAUGAGUGUAGGGUUAGAUGGUAGAUGGUAAUGAGUGUAGGGGUAGAUGGUAGAUGGUAAUGAGUGUAGGGUUAGAUGGUAGAUGGUAAUGAGUGUAGGGUUAGAUGGUAGAUGGUAGGGUAUUUAAAUAGUGUAGUAGGGUGGUAGGUGGUAAUGAGUGUAGGGGUAGAUGGUAGGGUAUUUAAAUAGUGUAGUAGGGUGGUAGAUGGUAAUGAGUGUAGGGUUAGAUGGUAGAUGGUAAUGAGUGUAUGGGUAGAUGGUAGAUGGUAAUGAGUGUAGGGUUAGAUGGUAGGUGGUAAUGAGUGUAGGGGUAGAUGGUAGAUGGUAAUGAGUGUAGGGUUAGAUGGUAGAUGGUAAUGAGUGUAGGGUUAGAUAGUAGAUGGUAAUGAGUGUAGGGUUAGAUGGUAGAUGGUAAUGAGUGUAGGGUGAGAUGUUAGAUGGUAAUGAGUGUAGGGUGAGAUGGUAGAUGGUAAUGAGUGUAGGGUUAGAUGGUAGAUGGUAAUGAGUGUAGGGUUAGAUGGUAGAUGGUAGGGUAUUUAAAUAGUGUAGUAGGGUGGUAGAUGGUAAUGAGUGUAGGGUUAGAUGGUAGGUGGUAAUGAGUGUAGGGUUAGAUAGUAGAUGGUAAUGAGUGUAGGGUUAGAUGGUAGAUGGUAAGGUAUUUAAAUAGUGUAGUAGGGUGGUAGAUGGUAAUGAGUUUAGGGUUAGAUAGUAGAUGGUAUUGAGUGUAGGGUUAGAUGGUAGAUGUUAAUGAGUGUAGGGUUAGAUGGUAGAUGGUAAUGAGUGUAGGGUUAGAUGGUAGGUGGUAAUGAGUGUAGGGUUAGAUGGUAGAUGGUAAUGAGUGUAGGGUUAGAUGGUAGGGUAUUUAAAUAGUGUAGUAGGGUGGUAGAUGGUAAUGAGUGUAGGGUUAGAUGGUAGAUGGUAAUGAGUGUAGGGUUAGAUAGUAGAUGGUAAUGAGUGUAGGGUUAGAUGAUAGGUGGUAAUGAGUGUAGGGUUAGAUAGUAGAUGGUAAUGAGUGUAGGGUUAGAUGGUAGAUGGUAAUGAGUGUAGGGUUAGAUGGUAGAUGGUAAUGAGUGUAGGGUUAGAUGGUAGGUGGUAAUGAGUGUAGGGUUAGAUGGUAGAUGGUAAUGAGUGUAGGGUUAGAUAGUAGAUGGUAAUGAGUGUAGGGUUAGAUGGUAGAUGUUAAUGAGUGUAGGGUUAGAUGGUAGAUGGUAAUGAGUGUAGGGUUAGAUGGUAGAUGUUAAUGAGUGUAGGGUUAGAUGGUAGAUGGUAAUGAGUGUAGGGUUAGAUGGUAGAUGGUAAUGAGUGUAGGGUUAGAUGGUAGAUGGUAAUGAGUGUAGGGUUAGAUGGCAGAUGGUAAUGAGUGUAGGGUUAGAUGGUAGAUGGUAGGAAUAUUUGUUGAUUUAUUCAUUUUUAGUUUCAAGCAAAGUGUAAAGGAGUUAAACUCCAGUCUAGUAAGUGGCGGUAAUGCAACAUUUAUUGGAUGCCCAACACUGUUAAACCUCCUCGAUAAAGGUGAAAAAUAAUAAAUAAUAAUAAAUAAUAAUAAAGGUGAAGAAAAGAAAAUGGAAGAAGAACGUUGAACUGCACCGCUAGAUGGCAGCAGAUCACCUGGUGUCAAGCAGUCUGAUAGCGCAGAGGUUUGGUCCAAGAAGACCUGUAGUCUGUGAUGUUAUUCCCUCCUCCUCCUCCAUGUGAUGUUAUUCCCUCCUCCUCCUCUAUGUGAUGUUAUUCCCUCCUCCUCCUCCUCCGUGUGAUGUUAUUCCCUCCUCCAUGUGAUGUUAUUCCCUCCUCCUCCUCCUCCAUGUGAUGUUAUUCCCUCCUCCUCCUCCAUGUGAUGUUAUUC
rnacentral:lncRNA from 1 species